rnacentral:tRNA from 1 species
GGGAGCAUAGCUCAGCUGGUCAGAGCGCACGGUUCACAUCCGUGAGGUCACAGGUUCGAUCCCUGCUGUUCCCACCA